AACGUAGGAGACAAACGUUAUCCGGAAUCACUGGGCUUAAAGGGCGCGUAGGCGGGCCGUCAAGUCGAGGGUGAAAGCCCCCAGCUCAACUGGGGAAGUGCCUUUGAUACUGGCGGUCUCGAGGGGGAUAGGGGCGUGCGGAACUUCCGGUGGAGCGGUGAAAUGCGUAGAUAUCGGAAGGAACACCGGUGGCGAAAGCGGCGCGCUGGAUCCCUUCUGACGCUGAGGCGCGAAAGCUAGGGGAGCAAACGGG
rnacentral:rRNA from 1 species